rnacentral:lncRNA from 1 species
AUUAAAAGUUCUAUACCCUUACUGAAUAGUUAAACACUGAAACUCAUCACUACAGGUUUUCACUGAUAAGUAUAGCCCUCUUUAGCUCUGUUUGAGGAGGGGGGGGAAGCAUUUAUUCUGAUAAAAAUAUCCAGAGAUAGGGAGAGAAGAAAAAAAUAAAUCCUCACCUCAUGUUUCAGGGUUAAAUCAAUUCCAAGGCAGCAGUGAUUAGGAUGGCUGCAAACUAUUCCACAUCUGCCAAGUAUAAAAUUUCUCACACCAUCCUUUACAACACACAGGGCUGCCCACUGUCAGCCAAGGGACUGAUUCAAAGUUCCCAGCUAUCUUUAUGUUGCAGAUAUUCUUAUCACACAUUUGCUCCAAACUGCUGCCAUCACAGAAAGUGUUUGAUGAAAGAAAAUCUUUUCUUUCUGUUGCUUAAAGAAAAUAGAAGUCAAAGGAAGAAAAAAAACAGGUCUGUUUGGAGCUUGUGCAUUGGUAGAAGCAGGGCAUUAUGAAGAUUGAGACAGUUCCUCCUGAAGAAACAGCCCUAAGAAAACUUGCCAGAUGACAAUGAAUACCAACUGCUCUCUGGUGACUGAUUUAUUUUGCUCUCAGACUAAUCUUUAUCAUUUCUGUGUUAGCUAAGAGAGAUGAUCAGAAGGAAGAGUAUUUUUGUAUGGUUGGUUUGUUGUUUUAUGUUUGCUUGCUUUACUCAGCAAAUAGCAAAUUCACUGAUUGGAUUUAUAUUGAAUAAAAAAGUGCAUGUUUGAGUCCA